CGCGUAGGCGGCCUGCUAAGUCUGAAGUGAAAGUCCUGCUUUCAAGGUGGGAAGUGCUUUGGAUACUGGUGGGCUGGAGUGCAGGGGAGGAAAGCGGAAUUACCGGUGUAGCGGUGAAAUGCGUAGAGAUCGGUAGGAACACCAGUGGCGAAGGCGGCUUUCUGGACUGAAACUGACGCUGAGGCGCGAAAGCGUGGGGAGCAAACA
rnacentral:rRNA from 1 species